rnacentral:rRNA from 1 species
GUAGGGUGCGAGCGUUAUCCGGGAAUCAUUGGGCGUAAAGAGCUCGUAGGCGGUUCAGCAAGUCGGCUGUGAAAUUCCGAGGCUCAACCUCGGAACUGCAGUCGAUACUGCUGUGACUCGAGUCCGGUAGAGGAGAAUGGAAUUCCCGGUGUAGCGGUGAAAUGCGCAGAUAUCGGGAGGAACACCAGUAGCGAAGGCGGUUCUCUGGGCCGGCACUGACGCUGAGGAGCGAAAGCGUGGGUAGCAAACAGGAUUAGAUACCCUGGUAGCCCACGCCGUAAACGUUGGAUACUAGGUGUGGCGUUCCGACCAACGGUCGCCGUGCCGAAGCUAACGCAUUAAGUAUCCCGCCUGGGGAGUACGGCCGCAAGGCUA